AGUCGUGUAGUGCACACAAAGCGAAUUAUUCUUCCGCCUUUUACUAAAGAAUACUGUAUGUGUCACUAACAACGGCAUGCACCAAUUUUUGGAGCGUUCACUUUCAUUUGGUGAAC